rnacentral:lncRNA from 1 species
GAGGGGAGGCCAUCCAUGCAGUCUGUGGGUUCAAAGGGUUUGUCAGCCUCUUGGUGUUAUUUACAUCAAAUCUGUCUCUGACUUCAGAUCCCUCAGGCUGGAGUGAGCUGCAACUGGGGCUCCUCUCUGGUCCAGGCUGAUGUGGGCUCUCCGCAUGGGUGCAGAGCCUGAGAGGGCCCUUUCUCUCCUCUCACUCAGACCCAAGCAAGACCCAAAACCUCUGUGGCUUCCCCACGGUGAUGCUAAAGAAAGAAGCACCCAAAGCCCAGGUCCUGGGACAUGGCUUCUCAAGGCUGGCCUUGGGCGUGGAGCUGAGGCUGAGCUACAGAGAAAGACAAAACAGGUGGAAGAUGAUUUGGACAAGCUGAAUGAGGAGUUCUUCCAGCUAACUACUCAAGCCUUGGAGCUCCAGAAGGUGGACAAGCCAGACCAAUUACCCCCAGGGGAAGCCAAUACCUUUGUGGUGGCUUCCAGCAUCCUCCCUGGUGUGUGGUGGGACGACAGAGCUGACCCCAUGGAGGCAGGUCAGCCCAGCAGAAAGAAGACUGGGCACUGGGCCCUGGAGAGAAAGCAGGCUCUGGCCCUGGAGGUUCAGAGAGUUCACGUGGCCCAAAAGAUUGAAGACCUGGAAUGGGAGCUGUCCCUGCUCCUCCAGGUGGCAGAAGGUGGCUUGAGAGCAGAAAGAAGCCAGCCCAGCUGUGGGGCUGUCCUGGAAGGCUCUGAGUCACACUGAGAUGGCCACCUGCAGAAAGCACCUUCUCCGCUAAGGAUGUGUCCAGGAGCCAUGGUAGGAAAUAAAAGGUAUCUGCAGCUGGAGCUGUGCUUGUUUCUGACAACUCCCAUCAUGGACACCUGAG